AGAUUGAACCGCUGGCGGCAGGCCUAACACAUGCAAGUCGAGCGGAAACGAGUUAUCUGAACCUUCGGGGAACGAUAACGGCGUCGAGCGGCGGACGGGUGAGUAAUGCCUAGGAAAUUGCCCUGAUGUGGGGGAUAACCAUUGGAAACGAUGGCUAAUACCGCAUAAUGCCUACGGGCCAAAGAGGGGGACCUUCGGGCCUCUCGCGUCAGGAUAUGCCUAGGUGGGAUUAGCUAGUUGGUGAGGUAAGGGCUCACCAAGGCGACGAUCCCUAGCUGGUCUGAGAGGAUGAUCAGCCACACUGGAACUGAGACACGGUCCAGACUCCUACGGGAGGCAGCAGUGGGGAAUAUUGCACAAUGGGCGCAAGCCUGAUGCAGCCAUGCCGCGUGUGUGAAGAAGGCCUUCGGGUUGUAAAGCACUUUCAGUCGUGAGGAAGGUAGUGUAGUUAAUAGCUGCAUUAUUUGACGUUAGCGACAGAAGAAGCACCGGCUAAC
rnacentral:rRNA from 1 species